AACGAACGCUGGCGGCAUGCCUAACACAUGCAAGUCGAACGAGACCUUCGGGUCUAGUGGCGCACGGGUGCGUAACGCGUGGGAACCUGCCCUUAGGUUCGGAAUAACUCCCCGAAAGGGGUGCUAAUACCGGAUAAUGUCUUCGGACCAAAGAUUUAUCGCCGUUGGAUGGGCCCGCGUUGGAUUAGCUAGUUGGUAGGGUAAAAGCCUACCAAGGCGACGAUCCAUAGCUGGUCUGAGAGGAUGAUCAGCCACACUGGGACUGAGACACGGUCCAGACUCCUACGGGAGGAAGCAGUGGGGAAUAUUGGACAAUGGGCGAAAGCCUGAGCCAGCAAGGCCGCGUGAGUGAGGAAGGUCUUAGGGUUGUAAAGCUCUUUUACCCGGGAUGAUAAUGACAGUACCGGGAGAAUAAGCUCCGGCUAACUCCGUG
rnacentral:rRNA from 1 species